rnacentral:rRNA from 1 species
UGAGGAAUAUUGGUCAAUGGGCGGGAGCCUGAACCAGCCAAGCCGCGUGGAGGAAGAAGGUACAGAGUAUCGUAAACUCCUUUUGUCAGGGGAUAAAAGGCGCCACGAGUGGCGUUCUGAAGGUACCUGAAGAAAAAGCAUCGGCUAACUCCGUGCCAGCAGCCGCGGUAAUACGGAGGAUGCGAGCGUUAUCCGGAUUUAUUGGGUUUAAAGGGUGCGUAGGCGGUCUUUUAAGUCAGCGGUGAAAGCCCGGGGCUCAACCCCGGCGAGCCGUUGAUACUGGGGAGACUGGAGAGGAAGAGAGGCAUGCGGAAUUCGCGGUGUAGCGGUGGAAUGCUUAGAUAUCGCGAAGAACUCCGAUUGCGAAGGCAGCAUGCUGGCUUCCGUCUGACGCUGAGGCACGAAAGCGUGGGGAUCGAACAGGAUUAGAUACC